CAUAACGUCGCAAGACCAAAGAGGGGGACCUUCGGGCCUCUUGCCAUCGGAUGUGCCCAGAUGGGAUUAGCUAGUAGGUGGGGUAACGGCUCACCUAGGCGACGAUCCCUAGCUGGUCUGAGAGGAUGACCAGCCACACUGGAACUGAGACACGGUCCAGACUCCUACGGGAGGCAGCAGUGGGGAAUAUUGCACAAUGGGCGCAAGCCUGAUGCAGCCAUGCCGCGUGUAUGAAGAAGGCCUUCGGGUUGUAAAGUACUUUCAGCGGGGAGGAAGGGAGUAAAGUUAAUACCUUUGCUCAUUGACGUUACCCGCAGAAGAAGCACCGGCUAACUCCGUGCCAGCAGCCGCGGUAAUACGGAGGGUGCAAGCGUUAAUCGGAAUUACUGGGCGUAAAGCGCACGCAGGCGGUUUGUUAAGUCAGAUGUGAAAUCCCCGGGCUCAACCUGGGAACUGCAUCUGAUACUGGCAAGCUUGAGUCUCGUAGAGGGGGGUAGAAUUC
rnacentral:rRNA from 1 species